rnacentral:lncRNA from 1 species
CGAUCCUUUUGGUCGAUUCGAGAGCGUCAAAUAGACGCCGAACGGAUAGAGCCUCCCCCGUCCGCCCAAGGCUCAACAACAGGUACAGAUAGAGUAUAAAGUUGCAUAAGCGGAAGCAUACACAAUGGCUUGCACGAUGGCAAGCAACAGCCAAUAGUGAAAGAAUCUACUAAACAUCAUACAAGUAUUUGAUUAAAUUUAAAUCACAUACAUGCAUUCAACUUUAAUACAACUUUGCAUCAUUUCUUUUAUACAUCACAAGUUCUCCAAAAUAUGAUCCUUUUCCAUUUAACAUAAAUAAAGUCUUCUACAUCAUUCCUUUAACAUAAUCACAAUACUAACAUCAUCAAAAUAUAAAAGAUGAUAAUAAGGGGUAUGCAACUAUGAAAAUAAAACAUCUCGAGCGGUCUCUACCUAGCCCUUACCGCGAUCGUCUGCCGGCUCGCUUGGUCCCGGCUCUGUGAAAAUAAGGGUGUGAAAACUACAACAAAGUUUCCAGUGGCACUACAACAGAAUUAGGUUAUAGGGACACAUGUUUGUGACACUUUUGAGUAAGUGUCCCAUUUAUCCUAAAACUUAAAAAAAUAUCUACUAAUGCCUAAAUAUAAAGCCCAAUCCAACCAAAAAUAAAAGAUUACUCUACUCAACUCACCACACCCAGUCCAUUUGGCCCGAUUACAAAUAGAAAAGAAAAAAAAAAUCAAUUACCAUCUUUUCUUCUCUCUUCACUCAAUCCACUGAAAUUCUAGACAAAGAGCCUUUCCUGUCAUCCUCCUCCGCCACCGCAGCCAACGAGAUAGAGUUUCUGCGGUUGCUAAAUG